GAUCCUGGCUUAGGAUGAACGCUGGCGGCGUGCCUAACACAUGCAAGUCGAGCGAGAUACACCUGAUUGAUGCUUCGGUGAUAGACGGUGUGGAAAGCGGCGGACGGGUGAGUAACGCGUAGGCAACCUGCCCCUUACACAGGGAUAGCCAUUGGAAACGAUGAUUAAAACCUGAUGACACCUUGAGAUGACAUCUUCCCAAGGUCAAAGAUUUAUCGGUAAGGGAUGGGCCUGCGUCUGAUUAGAUAGUUGGUGAGGUAACGGCCCACCCAAGUCAACGAUCAGUAGCCGACCUGAGAGGGUGAUCGGCCACAUUGGAACUGAGACACGGUCCAAACUCCUACGGGAGGCAGCAGUGGGGAAUAUUGCACAAUGGGGGAAACCCCUGAUGCAGCAACGCCGCGUGAAGGAUGAAGGUCUUCGGAUUGUAAACUUCUGUCCUUGGGGAAGAUAAUGACGGUACCCAUGGAGGAAGCCCCGGCUAACUACGUGCCAGCCGCGGC
rnacentral:rRNA from 1 species